UGGGCCUCGCUGGCCUUGAGGAAGGCCAUGAACCUCGCGGUGAAGGAGGCCACGAAGAUGGACAGCAUGCCGAAAUCCAGCAGGUUCCACAGGUAUACUGAAAAGAAGGAGACUCUUCAGCUGCCCAGCUCCUCCAGGGUGGAUUCAGUUAUAACCAGUGGCCGAUUAACUGACUUUCACACAUUACCUCACUUAAGAGUCUUGGAGUGAAAUGUCACCUGAGAGACUGAAUAUCAGCUUGACUGAAUGUGCACCACAGAGUCUCUAAGGAACUGCACGACAGGAAGGCCUGACAGACUGCACACUGCAAAGACAUCAGGUUGGAUUCUGGAAUUCAGUUUUCCCUGUGUGAUUUCUGGGACUACUCUUGGCAGUAACUGAACAGCGAUGGUUAAUGGAUGAUGAAUGAAGUUGCUUCCUUGGUCACCCCUUCACCUGGCCUCCUGCAGCCCCCUGACAGCCACGACGCUGACUGUACCCGAUUCCACCCGCUGAUGAGACCCUGCCUGGGGCUGUAAUGUGUGCAUCCUAGCUUAGGGCUCACAGAGGACAGAGAGCUGGUUAGUCAGCAGUGAAGACCCUAUGCACAGGAGCCUUGCUAAGAGGAUAAAGAUGCCAAGAAAUGAUUUAACUCAAUGCCACCGUUUUUAAGAACUCACUGGCUUCACACUGGCCUUCCUGGCCGCACCCAUGUUGGUGAUGGUCGUGAGGAACGGUGAACAAAAUCUCUUACUUUUCUCUUGAUCCUGGAAAGCCUGUCCCUUGCCAUGUCUGCACUUGCCCUCGCCUGUGAACACCUGUCACUUGCUGAUGCUCUUCAGAUGACAAAUUAAUGAGCUGCACUUCUAUUGGUAA